GAUGAACGCUAGCGGCAGGCCUAACACAUGCAAGUCGAGGGGUAGAAGGAGCUUGCUCCUUUGAGACCGGCGCACGGGUGCGUAACGCGUAUGCAAUCUACCUUGUACAGGGGAAUAGCCCAGAGAAAUUUGGAUUAAUGCCCCAUAGUAUAUAACCUUCGCAUGUUGGUUAUAUUAAAGUUCCAACGGUACAAGAUGAGCAUGCGUCCCAUUAGUUAGUUGGUAAGGUAACGGCUUACCAAGACGAUGAUGGGUAGGGGUCCUGAGAGGGAGAUCCCCCACACUGGUACUGAGACACGGACCAGACUCCUACGGGAGGCAGCAGUGAGGAAUAGUGGUCAAUGGUCGCAAGACUGAACCAGCCAUGCCGCGUGCAGGAAGACGGUCCUAUGGAUUGUAAACUGCUUUUAUACAGGAAGAAACCCUCCCACGUGUGGGAGCUUGACGGUACUGUAGGAAUAAGAAUCGGCUAACUCCGUG
rnacentral:rRNA from 1 species